AGCGUACACGGUGGAUGCCCUGGCAGUCAGAGGCGAUGAAGGACGUGCUAAUCUGCGAAAAGCGUCGGUAAGGUGAUAUGAACCGUUAUAACCGGCGAUGUCCGAAUGGGGAAACCCAGUGUGAUUCGUCACACUAUCGUUAACUGAAUACAUAGGUUAACGAGGCGAACCGGGGGAACUGAAACAUCUAAGUACCCCGAGGAAAAGAAAUCAACCGAGAUUCCCCCAGUAGCGGCGAGCGAACGGGGAGCAGCCCAGAGUCUGAAUCAGCUUGUGUGUUAGUGGAACGGUCUGGAAAGUCCGACGGUACAGGGUGAUAGUCCCGUACACCAAAAUGCACAGGUUGUGAACUCGAAGAGUAGGGCGGGACACGUGGUAUCCUGUCUGAAUAUGGGGGGACCAUCCUCCAAGGCUAAAUACUCCUGACUGACCGAUAGUGAACCAGUACCGUGAGGGAAAGGCGAAAAGAACCCCGGCGAGGGGAGUGAAAAAGAACCUGAAACCGUGUACGUACAAGCAGUGGGAGCACCUUCGGGUGUGACUGCGUACCUUUUGUAUAAUGGGUCAGCGACUUAUAUUCUGUAGCAAGGUUAACCGUAUAGGGGAGCCGCAGGGAAACCGAGUCUUAACUGGGCGUUAAGUUGCAGGGUAUAGACCCGAAACCCGGUGAUCUAGCCAUGGGCAGGUUGAAGGUUGGGUAACACUAACUGGAGGACCGAACCGACUAAUGUUGAAAAAUUAGCGGAUGACUUGUGGCUGGGGGUGAAAGGCCAAUCAAACCGGGAGAUAGCUGGUUCUCCCCGAAAGCUAUUUAGGUAGCGCCUCGUGAACUCAUCUUCGGGGGUAGAGCACUGUUUCGGCUAGGGGGUCAUCCCGACUUACCAACCCGAUGCAAACUACGAAUACCGAAGAAUGUUAUCACGGGAGACACACGGCGGGUGCUAACGUCCGUCGUGAAGAGGGAAACAACCCAGACCGCCAGCUAAGGUCCCAAAGUCAUGGUUAAGUGGGAAACGAUGUGGGAAGGCACAGACAGCCAGGAUGUUGGCUUAGAAGCAGCCAUCAUUUAAAGAAAGCGUAAUAGCUCACUGGUCGAGUCGGCCUGCGCGGAAGAUGUAACGGGGCUAAACCAUGCACCGAAGCUGCGGCAGCGACACUAUGUGUUGUUGGGUAGGGGAGCGUUCUGUAAGCCUGCGAAGGUGUGCUGUGAGGCAUGCUGGAGGUAUCAGAAGUGCGAAUGCUGACAUAAGUAACGAUAAAGCGGGUGAAAAGCCCGCUCGCCGGAAGACCAAGGGUUCCUGUCCAACGUUAAUCGGGGCAGGGUGAGUCGACCCCUAAGGCGAGGCCGAAAGGCGUAGUCGAUGGGAAACAGGUUAAUAUUCCUGUACUUGGUGUUACUGCGAAGGGGGGACGGAGAAGGCUAUGUUAGCCGGGCGACGGUUGUCCCGGUUUAAGCAUGUAGGCUGGUUAUCCAGGCAAAUCCGGAUAAUCAAGGCUGAGGUGUGAUGACGAGGCACUACGGUGCUGAAGUAACAAAUGCCCUGCUUCCAGGAAAAGCCUCUAAGCAUCAGGUAACAUCAAAUCGUACCCCAAACCGACACAGGUGGUCAGGUAGAGAAUACCAAGGCGCUUGAGAGAACUCGGGUGAAGGAACUAGGCAAAAUGGUGCCGUAACUUCGGGAGAAGGCACGCUGGUGUGUAGGUGAAGUCCCUGCGGAUGGAGCUGAGACCAGUCGAAGAUACCAGCUGGCUGCAACUGUUUAUUAAAAACACAGCACUGUGCAAACACGAAAGUGGACGUAUACGGUGUGACGCCUGCCCGGUGCCGGAAGGUUAAUUGAUGGGGUUAUCCGUAAGGAGAAGCUCUUGAUCGAAGCCCCGGUAAACGGCGGCCGUAACUAUAACGGUCCUAAGGUAGCGAAAUUCCUUGUCGGGUAAGUUCCGACCUGCACGAAUGGCGUAAUGAUGGCCAGGCUGUCUCCACCCGAGACUCAGUGAAAUUGAACUCGCUGUGAAGAUGCAGUGUACCCGCGGCAAGACGGAAAGACCCCGUGAACCUUUACUAUAGCUUGACACUGAACAUUGAGCCUUGAUGUGUAGGAUAGGUGGGAGGCUUUGAAGCGUGGACGCCAGUCUGCGUGGAGCCAACCUUGAAAUACCACCCUUUAAUGUUUGAUGUUCUAACGUUGGCCCCUGACCGGGGUUGCGGACAGUGUCUGGUGGGUAGUUUGACUGGGGCGGUCUCCUCCCAAAGCGUAACGGAGGAGCACGAAGGUUAGCUAAUCCUGGUCGGACAUCAGGAGGUUAGUGCAAUGGCAUAAGCUAGCUUGACUGCGAGCGUGACGGCGCGAGCAGGUGCGAAAGCAGGUCAUAGUGAUCCGGUGGUUCUGAAUGGAAGGGCCAUCGCUCAACGGAUAAAAGGUACUCCGGGGAUAACAGGCUGAUACCGCCCAAGAGUUCAUAUCGACGGCGGUGUUUGGCACCUCGAUGUCGGCUCAUCACAUCCUGGGGCUGAAGUAGGUCCCAAGGGUAUGGCUGUUCGCCAUUUAAAGUGGUACGCGAGCUGGGUUUAGAACGUCGUGAGACAGUUCGGUCCCUAUCUGCCGUGGGCGCUGGAGAAUUGAGGGGGGCUGCUCCUAGUACGAGAGGACCGGAGUGGACGCAUCACUGGUGUUCGGGUUGUCAUGCCAAUGGCACUGCCCGGUAGCUAAAUGCGGAAGAGAUAAGUGCUGAAAGCAUCUAAGCACGAAACUUGCCCCGAGAUGAGUUCU
rnacentral:rRNA from 2 species